UAUGGUUAAGCUACUAAGAGCACACGGAGGAUGCCUAGGCGCUAGGAGCCGAUGAAGGACGUGGCGAACAACGAAA
rnacentral:rRNA from 1 species